CAGACCUAUACUUAUCUAUUCUCAACUAUCUUAAAUAACAUUUCUCUAACUAAACUGUUCUAAUUAAUAAAAUCUUCUUUAACUUCCUUAAAGUAUCAGUUCUUUUCAACUCCAACUGCUACAAGCCAACUGUCAGAAUCUUGUGGCAGCAAGACUCAGACACAGGUCUACUUCCAAGUCAGAGAGAGUGGACAGAGCCCCCUCUGGCAGCUCCUUCUCCCCUCAGGAAAAAGUUCUCAACAACAGACUUGAACUCAAAUUGAUUCUCUGUAUUUAAGAUAACUGAAGAGGAGGAUUAGCCGAACAGCCCUAGGAUGGCAGGCACCAGGACUGUGUGGGUCUCAGUCUUCUUGUCUGUAAAACGAGAGGCAGAGCAGCAAGGGAGCACAGUGGAGAACCAGGCUUAGAGUCAGGAAGUCCUGGGUUCAGAUAUGGCCUCAUAUACUUCCUGGAAUGUAGCAAAAAGAAUCUCUUCUGGAUGAACCAGUAUGCCUCCAAAACAGAGCAGCCUGUUCCAAAGCAAUCAUCACCACAUGCCCAGUUGUACCACAAAGAGAACAGUGGCCAAAGGAAAUUUCCCAGAGAAAGAAGUUCAUUGAGUAGUGGAUCAUGGCCAGAUAUGAAGAGGAAAUGGAUCUCAUUUUUGGUGAGAAAGCCUUGUAUUCUAUAUUUUCUUAGCUGACACAGUGUGUCAAUGAUUAUAAGCUACAUUUUGAAUUUUAAAACUCUUCUAUUAUUAUAUUUUUCUUGCAUGUGCAAUAUACUAUUUCAGUCUUUUAUUUUUUCUCUCCUUUUUAUAUUUGAAGUACAUGUCACCAGUAUUAAGAUUUUCUUUAACUUUUUUGAUUUUGCAGUAAUAUAAGUUUACAUACAUUUGCUGAUGCAUGCCCCCAAAGCUUGAGACUAUAAAAAUGAUGCCACUAAUUGUUUUUUAAAAAUUAUGGGACUUUGCUUAAUGAUUCUGUCUGAUUCUAGGACAAGAUAUACAAAAGAGCCAUUGCACAGGGCCAAUGAAGCACAAAGCUAAACCUGAUUAGUGCCACAAAGAGCACACAGAAUAUAUUAGUGUGAAGACUCAAGGUUGCGACACUUAACAUACGUUAAGACGUAGGCCUUCCUUGUAUCCACACUACUCUGAAAUUACUUACAGACGAGUAUCCCAAACUGUGAAUUUCAAAACUAUUCCACCCUAUUCAGACCAUUCUUUACAAGAUCGGAUUUUGCUAUUUCCUGAUCAAUAACAAUAGAGAUACUUGGAAUAACAGAAUCAGGUCUUGGAAACUACAAUCUCCACCCUACUCAGGGUAACAAGAUUAGGAAGGGCUGCAGCAAAACUCAAGAUUUAAUUAUUUUGAGAAUAUGGUCUUCAACAGACAUGUGCAAAAAAAGACAGACCUCUGGGCGGUCCUAGGUCAAGCUAGAGCCACCAUUGGCACAUGUGAGAUGCAGGAAGCAAGGUAGAGAACAGCCUCUGGAGUUCUUGUGACUUCCUAUGAGGAGGGCUAGAGGGAGUUGGAGGCUGGUGUUUGGAGUUGGAGGAGCCUGUGGACUGUUUUUCUCCAGAUUGGUCAUAUGAGUGAUAGGGAUUGAUCUCUUUCCUUGCCUUGGCUAUCCAGGGCCUUAAAGCCCGCUUUGGCUCAGCCUAAACAGAGUGGAUAUUUAAAACCUCUUUCCUUCUCUCCCCUUCCCUUCCCCCGCCCCUCUCUCCCUACUCCCCUCUAAUACUUUCUUCUUCCUGUUUGUAAUUAAACACCAUAAAAAAAAGUUGGCAGCUGACUUGAGUGUUUCAUUUAGGAAUUACAUAAGUGAAUUCCUUGGCGACCUUAAAUUAAUAUAUAUCAGUCUUUUAAAAUGAUUUCACUAUCACAAAACUUGGCUCCUACUUGGCUUCUACAAUCUGGUCCCUUUGCUGUCUUUCAUAGUGUGGCAAACUUUCUGUAGUUCUGGCUACUGACUGGGUAAAUGUUUACUUGCUUAUAUCAUUUUAAUUGGGCCCUGAUUCAUGGACCUGUUAUAGAUUUAUUUUUCCUUUACUUAGACUUUUUACACAUAAGACUUUGAUAGUCUAUAUUUUCAUCCAGAAAUUAUCUUUUUUAUUUGGAUUUUUCUGAUGUCUUUUUAAUUUCUCUUGCCAAUUGAUUCAUAUACCUCAUAACUCAGCCAUGAAUCCCUAAGUGAUCCCUGUGUUUUUCAAUCACCCUCUUCACAGGGGAAUGUAAAAAUAUUAUUAUUGUUAAUUGCAAAGUUUAAAUUCCUUUUGAGAAGAAUUUUAGGUUAAGAAACAUGCUACCUCUCCGAAUCCAGAAACUGAACUGUUUGGAGAAGGCACCAUGAAGAUGCCUCCAGACCACAAGCUGCACAAGAAAAUCAAGAAUGAACUUUGGGUGUGGUUGAUUGAACAUUUAUUUGUAGGUAUACUUUCAUGCCAAAGGGGACUGCCCCCUAACUGGUUUUUUGUCAAUGCAUCUAGCAAUUAUUUGUUUUGUUCUUUUCCUCUUAUCCUCAAAUUAUUGUAAUCUUUAAGUUGAUUAUGUUUCCAUGAUCCUUUUGUAUCAUUAACACAGCUUAACAGUUUGACAAAUGCUUGCUGACUGAUUGAUUGAAGCCUACAGACCUGAAUUUAAAUCUGUGUGACCCUUGACAAGUCACUCUACUCCCAAUAUGAGUUUCUUCAUACAAAAAAUAAAGGGGUUCCACUAGAUGAUUGCUAAUGUUGCCUUCUAGUUAAAAAUCUAAAUAUUAAUGUGCCUCUUUGCAACUUUUUUUAAAACCCUUACCUUCUGUCUUGGAAUCAAUACUUUGUUUUGGUUCCAAGGAAGAAGAGCAGUAAGGACUAGGCAAUGGGGGUUAAGUGACUUGCCCUGGGUCACACAGUUAGGAAGGGUCUGAGGUCAGAUUUGAACCCAGGACCUCCCGUCUCUAGGCUUGGUUCUCAAUCCACUGAGCCACCUAGCUGCCCCUCUCUUUGCAACUUUUGCCCAUUAUUUCUAGACCUACUCUUUAGCCCCAAAUGGUAAUUUUUCUCCUUGAGAGCUCUAUCUAUAUUUGAAAACAGUUGCCAUUCCCUCCUCUUCUUCUGACUUCUCUCCCACCAUCCAUGAUUUGAGAUCACAGAGUGGUAGAAUGUCAGAUCUCUAUGGAAUAUUCAAAAUCUAGACUAAGUUGUCCCCUCACUUUUACAUUGUCAUUUUACAGAUGACCCAAACAGAGACCCAAAGUGGGGAGGUGACCGUCAUACAGCAAGUAGCAAAGCUGGGUUUGUGUUCUGCCAAGGAAGUCAAUCCACAUGGGACAGCAGGAUGUUGUAGGGGAAAUGGAGGAAUAGAAGAUGUAGGGAGUGAGACCUACAUCUACUUCCCCUCCACACUCCAUAUAGCCACCAAAAUUAUAUCCCAAAGUUCAGAACUGACCAUGUCACCCUCUUUGCACCCCUAGCCCCACAUAAAUAUAUAAUAUAUAAACAUAGAUAAACUCCAGUGUCUCCCUCAAAAAUAAAUUCCUUUGGGGGGCAGCUGGGUGGCUCAGUGGAUUGAGAGCCAGGCCUAGAGAUGGGAGGUCCUGAGUUCAAAUGUUCCCUCAGAUACUUACUACCUGUGUGACCCUGGGCAAGUUACUUAACCUCCACUGCCUAACCCAUAUCCCUCUUCUGCCUUGGAGCCAAUACACAGUAUUGAUUCCAAGAUGGAAGGUGAGGGGUUAAAAAAAAUUCCUUUGUUUGGCAUCUAAUGCUUUUUGCUACCUGACUGUACACCAACUUUCUUGAUUGUUAUCCCUCUUCAUCCACUCUCUAGUUCAGUCUAACUGGUCUCCAAGUUGUUCUGUAUACUGUAAAGAUAAUUUUAGGAUUGUGACUUAAAAUCUAAAUUAAUUGGUCACCAGGGAAAAAUCCCAAAUAAAAUACCCAAGUCAGUCUGGAAAUUUAUGAUAAUUUUAAUUAAUAUAGAGGGAAGGAUUUAAGGAGAAAGAGGGAAGAAGGUAUAGGUUUUCUCCUGUCUGGCCUAUGCCAGGGAAGUUCAAGAUCUCCAUCACUAGGUCUCUGAAAAAUAUUAGAGGCUUCUAAGAGGAUAAAGUUGGAAAGUAAAGGAGAAAAAUUCAGCCAGAAACUUACCACCAAACCAGACAAUAGUUGUAGCCACACCAAGAUGCCGAAAGGCCCAGCAUGCUGCCACCAGCCAUCUCUCUGCCACCAAAGGUACCAGAGGAAGCAAGUGAUGUGAAAUAUAUCGACCUUUUACUCUUGUGUCCCCUCCUCUAAAUUUUCACGUCUACCAGUCACAUCAGAGGCUUUUCUCCAGGCCUGCCCAUUCUUUAGUUCUCAUCUUCUUUGAUUAGAUUAUAUCUUUUGAGUUAUUUAACACUUCUUUGUUAAGUUCACCUUUUGUUAGUUACUUAACUGUUUUGUGAUUAAUUUACCCUUUAUAGUUACUUAACACCUUUUUUUGUAGUAAGAUCUAAAACUAGACUUAGCUUAAAGUUCUAGCUUCACGAUAAAGUAAGAACUAAGUACCUUCAUUGUUCAAUCAGGAGAUUACAAUUUUAUCUUCACCAUAAAGUAAGAUCUAAGUAGGGUGGAGAAAUUUAAAGUUCACAAUUCCA